UGUUAUGUGGCUCAGCUGGUUAAAGCGCCGGACUAACUAUACGGAGUCGUGGGUUCGAAUCCCACCAAAACAA
rnacentral:tRNA from 1 species